UACAAAGAUUUGCUAUGAACAGGAACUUAUGAAAAACAAAAAUGUGGUCCCAAAGAUAGCACCUCUGUAGAAAGUAUGACUCUUUUUGCUAAGGCUGAUACAGAGAAAUUUG